rnacentral:rRNA from 1 species
GACGAACGCUGGCGGCGUGCUUAACACAUGCAAGUCGAACGGAAAGGCCCUGCUUUUGUUGGGUGCUCGAGUGGCGAACGGGUGAGUAACACGUGAGUAACCUGCCCUUGACUUUGGGAUAACUUCAGGAAACUGGGGCUAAUACCGGAUAGGAGCUCCUGCUGCAUGGUGGGGGUUGGAAAGUUUCGGCGGUUGGGGAUGGACUCGCGGCUUAUCAGCUUGUUUGUGGGGUAGUGGCUUACCAAGGCUUUGACGGGUAGCCGGCCUGAGAGGGUGACCGGGGACAUUGGGACUGAGAGACGGCCCAGACUCCUACGGGAGGCAGCAGGGGGGAAUAUUGCACAGUGGGCGGAAGCCUGAUGCAGCAACGUCGCGUGCGGGAUGACGGCCUUCGGGUUGUAAACCGCUGUCGACUGUGACGAAGCGUGAGUGACGGUAAUGGGUAAAGAAGCACCGGCUAACUACGUG